UUAUUACUUASUUUAURCAUGSAAGUCUCCACACCCCUGUGAAAACGCCCUUAACCCCUACCAGGGGCAAGGAGCCGGKAUCRGGCACAAUUAUUAGCCCAAGACACCUAGCUACGCCACACCCACAAGGGAUCUCAGCAGUAAUUAACAUUGAAUAUAAGCGCCAGCUUGAUUCAGUUAAAGUAAAAAGGGCCGGCAAAUAUGGUGCCAGCCGCCGCGGUUACACCACAUGACCCAAAUUGACUUCCAAAACGGCGUAAAGCGUGAUUAAAGUUCACCCUAAACUGUAGCCAAACUAUUAAUUAGUCGUAAAACGCUUUUAAUUAGGAAGCCCAAAAACGAAAGUUACUACACACAAAACAACUUGAACUCACUACAGUCAGGACCCAAACUAGGAUUAGAUACCCUACUAUGCCUCUCUAUAAACUCUUAAUUUACACCACUAUCGCCAGAGUACUACAAGCAAAGCUUAAAACUCAAAGGACUUGACGGUGCCCCACAUCCCCCUAGAGGAGCCUGUCCUUUAAAUCGAUGAUCCCCGCUUAACCUCACCAUUUUUAGCUACCAGUCUGUAUACCUCCGUCGUCAGCUUACCGCAUGAGCGAUAUAAAGUAAGCUCAAUGUCCCUAAACCCUCAUCAAAACGUCAGGUCAAGGUGCAACUUAUAAAAUGGGAAGAGAUGGGCUACACUCUCUAACAUAGAACAAACGAAAAACUAACUGAAAAYUAGUYWGAAGGYSGAUUWAGAAGUAAAAAGAGWCCAGAAAACUCUUUUUAACUCGGCAMUGGGGNGUGUACACACCGCCCSUCWCCCUCUUCGUCAA
rnacentral:ncRNA from 1 species